GCGAGGGAGGAGGAGGCGGCCGCGGCGCGUUCCCGCCCGCGCGGCCGGGUGGCGCCCCUGGGCCCGCGCUCGUGCGGCCCGCACCGGGACGGCCGCAAGCCGCGGGCCCAGCGGCGCGGGCGGCCCCGGAACGCCCCCCACCGGGGAACUUCUCGCGGACUUUUGGGGCUCUCGGGACAGACAGACCGGGGCGGCCCCGAGAGGCGGCCUUGGCUCUGCGCGUUCUACCGGGAGCCCCGAGGGCCGCCGGGGCAGCUCAGAUCCUGCUGGCACAGGGUGGACCACAAAUGAAUAUUUAUUGAGAGAAGAGAGAGAAGGAAGGAAGUGGGGGCUGCCCCAAAGCCAGCUCCCCACCCUUGUGCCAAGCUCAGCCUCAGGACCACACUGCCCUUUACCCAAGUCUGGCACACCAGCAGCAGGCUAUACAUCUUACUCGUCUGUGAAGACGUCACUCCGACUCCAGGCUGAGUUUCGGAUCUUUCCCUCAGCGGCAUAUUUACUGGAGCUCCUCACCCUGCAAAGGCACCAUCACCAUCUUGCCCCUUCGUGCCAUCUCUCUUCCUCUCC